GAUGAACGCUGGCGGCGUGCCUAAUACAUGCAAGUCGAGCGAACAGACGAGGAGCUUGCUCCUCUGACGUUAGCGGCGGACGGGUGAGUAACACGUGGAUAACCUACCUAUAAGACUGGGAUAACUUCGGGAAACCGGAGCUAAUACCGGAUAAUAUAUUGAACCGCAUGGUUCAAUAGUGAAAGACGGUUUUGCUGUCACUUAUAGAUGGAUCCGCGCCGCAUUAGCUAGUUGGUAAGGUAACGGCUUACCAAGGCAACGAUGCGUAGCCGACCUGAGAGGGUGAUCGACCACACUGGAACUGAGACACGGUCCAGACUCCUACGGGAGGCAGCAGUAGGGAAUCUUCCGCAAUGAGCGAAAGCCUGACGGAGCAACGCCGCGUGAGUGAUGAAGGUCUUCGAAUCGUAAAACUCUGUUAUUAGGGAAGAACAAAUGUGUAAGUAACUAUGCACGUCUUGACGGUACCUAAUCAGAAAGCCACGGCUAGCUACGUG
rnacentral:rRNA from 1 species